UCAACAAAUGAAAAUGCAAACCCUCCCACAAAAGAGAGUAGUAUGGAAGAAGCCUUUAGGGUUACACGUGCCAGAUUGAGGAAAAGCCGUUCUGGACCAAAAACUUAAAGACUCGUUUCAGACCUUUCCCAAUUUUAGAUUACAGAACUAGCAGUGAGUCAGUAGGUGGGUGGUGAAUGGUUCUUGGAUCAUUGUUGUUGUCGUUUAUGUAAAUUUGUCGCCUUCUAUUUUCUCAUUCCAUUUGUUGCUUUAUUUUUUGAAAAUGAA
rnacentral:misc_RNA from 1 species